rnacentral:rRNA from 1 species
CCUACGGGAGGCAGCAGUGAGGAAUAUUGGUCAAUGGGCGCAAGCCUGAACCAGCCAUGCCGCGUGCAGGAAGACGGUCCUAUGGAUUGUAAACUGCUUUUAUACAGGAAGAAACACCUCCACGUGUGGAGGCUUGACGGUACUGUAGGAAUAAGGAUCGGCUAACUCCGUGCCAGCAGCCGCGGUAAU